UGGGAUAUGGUGUAAUGGUAACACAGCGGGUUUUGGUCCCACUAUUCUUGGUUCGAGUCCGAGUAUCCCAA
rnacentral:tRNA from 1 species